UACGGGGGGAGCAAGCGUUGUUCGGAUUUACUGGGCGUAAAGGGCGCGUAGGCGGUCGCGACAAGUCACUUGUGAAAUCUCCGGGCUUAACCCGGAAAGGUCAGCCGAUACUGCGGGGCUAGAGUGCAGAAGGGGCAACUGGAAUUCUCGGUGUAGCGGUGAAAUGCGUAGAUAUCGAGAGGAACACCUGCGGCGAAGGCGGGUUGCUGGGCUGACACUGACGCUGAAGCGCGAAAGCUAGGGGAGCGAACGGG
rnacentral:rRNA from 1 species